rnacentral:rRNA from 1 species
UACGAAGGGUGCAAGCGUUACUCGGAAUUACUGGGCGUAAAGCGUGCGUAGGCGGUUUGUUAAGUCCGUUGUGAAAGCCCUGGGCUCAACCUGGGAAUUGCAGUGGAUACUGGCGAGCUAGAGUGCGGUAGAGGAUGGUGGAAUUCCCGGUGUAGCGGUGAAAUGCGUAGAUAUCAAGAGGAACACCAGUGGCGAAGGCGAGUCCCUGGACAACUUCUGACGCUGAGGCACGAAAGCUAGGGGAGCAAACAGG